AGGACGAACGCUGGCGGCGUGCUUAACACAUGCAAGUCGAGCGGAAAGGCCCUUCGGGGUACUCGAGCGGCGAACGGGUGAGUAACACGUGAGCAACCUGCCCUUAGCUCUGGGAUAGCUCCGGGAAACCGGAAUUAAUACCGGAUAUGACCUAGGCCGACAUCGGCCGUGGUGGAAAGUUUUUCGGCUAGGGAUGGACUCGCGGCCUAUCAGCUAGUUGGUGGGGUAAUGGCCUACCAAGGCGACGACGGGUAGCCGGCCUGAGAGGGCGACCGGCCACACUGGGACUGAGACACGGCCCAGACUCCUACGGGAGGCAGCAGUGGGAAUCUUGCGCAAUGGGCGAAAGCCUGACGCAGCGACGCCGCGUGGGGAUGGAAGGCCUUCGGGUUGUAAACCCCUUUCAGCAGGGACGAAGCGAAAGUGACGGUACCUGCAGAGAAGCGCCGGCUAACGUACGUGCCACGCAGCCGC
rnacentral:rRNA from 1 species